CUCAAGGUGGUUGACGAUAUGUCA
rnacentral:siRNA from 1 species